rnacentral:tRNA from 2 species
GCCGCGGUGGUGAAAUUGGUAUACACGCCAGUCUUAGGAACUGGUAGGUUUAUCCUGUGGGAGUUCGAGUCUCCCCCGCGGCA